AUUUUCACAUAAUAGUUACAAAUAAACAAAUAUGGAAAGAGCUAAAAGAAAGGUGAUUUUAAAAAAAAUAGUUUGAAAUUUUUUAGAAAAAACAAAGAAACAAAUGAAAAGGGGGUCUUAGGUUUAUAAAUAAUAUGGAUCACCUCACACAACAUCCACUAAUCACUCAUCGGUGAGGGGCUACAUGAGACUUUAUCGCUUGGUCAUCAUAUCCAUAUUUACCCUUUCCCACCCCCUUGAGGUAUUAAAGUGCGGAAUGUUCUCAUUUACUUAUUGCAUGCUAUUACUCAUCCCAAUCCUAUCAGUCCCGGAGGCAUUUAGGACUACUAAUCCUAAAGGGGAGGCAUAUUAGGCUUAUUUGAAGUUUCAAAGGCAAAAUUCUAAGGCGACACACAAGAACAUGUAUAGACAGCUGGGGAAAGAACAUAACAAACAAGAGGCUCAGAUAUACCUCCUUUAAACAAAGAAGCACAUAGUAACAUAACUUACACAUACUGAUUUAUUACAUAAUUCAGAUAAUAAGCCCGAGUAACACAUAUUCAGUUUAUAAUUUUACCCUAAGGCUUGCCUAAGUGUUGGACAAGGAUCCUAUAGGCGUGGUAUUUACUGAAUUCAGAAAGUAAUGAAAUAACUGAAUACGUACUGGUUAAAAGGCUAUCAGAUUAUUAAAAGAAAAGCAAGUUCUUGAUGAAGGUUUUAAGUUCUAUAGAUGAUGAUACAUCGUGAUUAUUGGUUUUAGCUCUACACAAGAAUAAAGUGAUUCAGAUUCAAUUAAUAGUUCCUAUAGGCAUGCUUUCUAUGCGUUGUUGAUUUUAGCCUUUUAUAGAUAUGGUAAAAAAUUGCAGAAACCUUAU
rnacentral:lncRNA from 1 species